CCUACGGGUGGCAGCAGUGGGGAAUAUUGCACAAUGGGGGAAACCCUGAUGCAGCGACGCCGCGUGAGUGACGAAGGCUCUCGGGAUGUAAAGCUCUAUCAGCAGGAAAGAAAAUGACGGUACCUGACUAAUAAGCCCCGGCUAACUACGUGCCAGCAGCCGCGGUAAUACGUAGGGGGCAAGCGUUAUCCGGAUUUACGGGGGGUAAAGAGGGCUUAGACGGCGCAGCAAGUCAGUAGUGAAAGCCCAGGGCUGAAACUUGGUACUGCUUUGGAAACUGUAGAGCUUGAGUGCGGGAGAGGCAGGCGGAAUGACUAGUGUAGCGGUGAAAUGCGUAGAUAGUAGGAGGAACACCGGCGGCGAAGGCGGCCUACUGGACCGUAACUGACGUUGAGGCUCGAAAGCGUGGGGAGCAAACAGGAGUAGAUACCCGAGUAGUC
rnacentral:rRNA from 1 species